UACGUAGGGGGCAAGCGUUGUCCGGAUUUAUUGGGCGUAAAGAGCGUGUAGGCGGUUUGGUAGGUCAGCUGUGAAAACUCGAGGCUCAACCUCGAGACGCCGGUGGAAACCAUCAGACUAGAGUCCGGAAGAGGAGAGUGGAAUUCCUGGUGUAGCGGUGAAAUGCGCAGAUAUCAGGAAGAACACCCGUGGCUAAGGCGGCUCUCUAGUACGGUACUGACGCUGAGACGCGAAAGCGUGGGGAGCGAACAGG
rnacentral:rRNA from 1 species